AUUGAACGCUGGCGGCAUGCUUUACACAUGCAAGUCGAACGGCAGCACGGGGGCAACCCUGGUGGCGAGUGGCGAACGGGUGAGUAAUAUAUCGGAACGUACCCGGAAAUGGGGGAUAACGUAGCGAAAGUUACGCUAAUACCGCAUAUGCCCUAAGGGGGAAAGCGGGGGAUUCGCAAGAACCUCGCGUUUUCGGAGCGGCCGAUAUCGGAUUAGCUAGUAGGUGAGGUAAAGGCUCACCUAGGCGACGAUCCGUAGCUGGUCUGAGAGGACGACCAGCCACACUGGAACUGAGACACGGUCCAGACUCCUACGGGAGGCAGCAGUGGGGAAUUUUGGACAAUGGGCGCAAGCCUGAUCCAGCCAUGCCGCGUGAGUGAAGAAGGCCUUCGGGUUGUAAAGCUCUUUCAGUUGAGAAG
rnacentral:rRNA from 1 species